UGGCAAUGCCUUGCAAUUAGGCGCAGGU
rnacentral:sRNA from 1 species